rnacentral:lncRNA from 1 species
GAAAAGAUCCUUGUCUGACAUGAGGAGAUCACAGCAGAGCCUCCAGCAGCUUUGACAUCCUGCCUUGUGGGGGACAAGCUCACUGCUCCACAGGCAUAUGCCAGCCAAGGCCUUGCCGUUUGUUUUUUAUUUUUUUUUUUCUCAAGGCUAAUGCAGCAAGAGCAGCCUGAUUCACUUUGAUGGAGUGGUUAAGUAAGUGGCACAGAUUUCACAUGUCAGCCGUAGCCUGCCUAAUCUCAGAGUUAUCCCAUAGCAAGUGACUGCUGAGAAGGUUCAGCAUCAUGCAAGGGCAGCGGAUAGUGCAGUUUGAGGCAUGUGCUGCUACACUAAGUGUUUUGCUUAUCUGGGUUACACUGCCUGGAUCCAAAGUUGAAAGGCCUUGUGCAUAUGCUAAACUGUGGAGACAGACUAGGAACAACCAUGGUUUUCUAUAAGAUCUAAGUUGCAUUCAUGUAUGUGGACCUUCAUAGUAUUUACUGGUAAUUAGUUUUCUAUUUUUCCUUUGAAAAAUUGUUGCUUUUUUUUUUUAACAUAAGGGAAAAAAACCACUCUAUCUUUACAUUAGUACCUUGGCCUUGUUUUCUAAAAUAGUUGAAAAAAUGGAAUUCAUUUAGUAUUUAACCAGGAUGCUUAGGCUUUAGCAGCGUUUAGUAAACACCUAUUUGUUUUAGGUUAGCUCCUACCAUGGUGGUAUUUGUUUGGACCCUAUGAGCAUUAAUUACCCUUAAUGGCCUUAGCCAGCCCCACCUGGUGCUUCCAACCACACCCACGGGCCCAGGAGCCAAUUUAAGCACUGCAGGAGGUUCUUAUCUCUUUUCUUGAGCUGUAUUACAGCCUGCUAGACUGCAGUUUGGUUAAGGACCUGCUGCUUUUAGCCUGCAGACUGAUUUCUCAACCUGAUCUCAUCAUGAUAUUGCCUUGUCACCUGGUUUACCAUCUCCAGGACUGCCUGCUUGCAUUGCUCAGGUGUUUCCAUGGCUAUACAUGCAGUCACAGUAAAUCCAUGAACCACAGUGCUGUCAGCUACAUCCCUUAGAAGACACUUUCAAGAAAGACAGAGGAAGAAGAGAAGGAACUUCAGGUUUGGCUGCAGGCUUGGCCAACCACACCACUUGCCCAUGGAAAUGCUCUGAACCUCAAGCAGCAAGCUCCUUCUGCACCAGGAGCUCCAACUGUGGGAGCCAGCAAGGUGAGGAAACCUGGGGGCAGGGAUGUGGGGUACUGCACCCACAGGGUGACUUCUCCCUUCUUUGCUUGGAGUUCAUCAUUUUUCCAGUUCUUCAAGAUGAGCUAGGAUCAGCUGAGAAGGAAAAACUGAUGUGCGUGUUUCUGUUGCUGCUCAGAAGUUACAGUAGUAAAUAAAAUAUAAGAUUCCCUGUUUUAGGCCAACUAGUUGGAAGCAUAAGAAUCUAAAUUAUAUAUUUUUUUUCAAUUUUACUGAAAAAUA